rnacentral:lncRNA from 1 species
AUUAUCCCUCAGUCCUAGAAAUAGUAUCUUCUAAUAGUUGCUGUAGAAUAUUUUUUUAUUACGAAGCUCUUUUUGGUAGUUAUUUACUUAUCCUAGGUAAUAUUUCUUUACAAAACGUUUUUCCUGCUGAAAUUUCCAGUGCGGUUCUGUCUUCUGACUGGACCUUGACAAAUACAGAGUGUAUUAAUAUUUUUAUCACUAUUUAUGUUUACUAUGAAACUGUGAUUGGGUAGAAAUUUAUAAUUUCAUGACAGAAGUCUAGAGUUUCUAUGCUACACUUUAAAAUUAAAAUAAAUUGACUUAUAUAUAAUAUUUUAUAAAUGAGUGAAUGUAGCUCAUGAAUAUGAUAAAAUCAUAAUAGUUAUGCAAAUGACUAAGGUUAAGGAGAGCCUGAACUAUUUAAUAAAGAAAUCUAAGGUAUUUAAUCAUAGUUCUUUGAUUGCUAAGCCAUGUUUAGGUGAUUAUUAUUAAAAUUACUAAAUUACUAUGUACAUUACAACAUGUUUAUUUGUGUGUCCAAUCCUGUUUUAUCAUCACAACAAUACUAGAUAAUUAUUCUAUCCUCCAUUUUAUAUCUAAGAUAAAUAAAUGAGAUUUCAGAAAGGUUAAGAAAAUUGCUGAAGUUAAGAUGGCCUAGUAAGUGACAGAUCUGGGACUCAAAUCCUACUUGAACUAGAAUGUCUGUGCAUUUUAUAUGUAAUGCAAAAUACUGAAAAUAAUCUGCAUGUUCCAUUGCAGUAGGGUGGUAGUUAUAUUGUAGUUCAUCUAAAUAAUGGAAUAACAAUUAGUAAAAAUAAAGAGUAAGUUAUAAAAUGUUUACUGAUGUUAAAAUAUAACUAAUAUGUUGUGAGCUGAAAAACACCACCACCACCUUACUGAUUUUUAAUAGAAUUAUUUUACUUUUGUAAAAUAAAAGAAGGGAUAUGUAUAUACAUGCGUAGGUAUAUUUAUGAAGGUAUGAGAGAAACAAGGAAGGCUUGUAUCAGAUCUUUGGAUCUGAGAUUCUUAAAGGUAAGGAUAGGACUUCCUUUUAUUAACAUACAUAAUUUAGAUAGUAAAGUUAUAAGUGACCUUUACUUUUUUCUUUGUAAUUUUUAAUGCAUUUUAAAGUACUUUGUGUCCUUGCAACUAUGUCAAUUAUCUAUUUUCCAUAAUUCUCCAGUAAUAUGAAAUUUAGCAGAUGCUUUCACUAGAGGCAGGCAAUGGUAUGGAGUAAGAUCUGAGGAGAUUACUCUUUGAGGGUGAUGUAAGCAAAAAGCCCCAAAUGAUACGUGAUGCUCUCCAAACUCCUCAUGCUAAGUGUACUCUGGACUUUUGCCACCAGUCUGAAUGAACAGCUUCCCACCCUAUUGGCAAAGCAAGUCUAACCUACAGAAGCUUCUUUAAAAUACAGAUAUUCCCGGAGUUCCCGUCAUGGUGCAGUGGUUAAGGAAUCCGACUAGGAACCAUGAGGUUGCAGGUUCGAUCCCUGGCCUUGCUCAGUGGGUUAAGGAUCCGGCGUUUCCGUGAGCUGUAGUGAAGGUUGCAGACAAGGCUUGGAUCCUGCGCUGCUGUGGCUCAGGCGUAGGCCAGCGGCUACGCCUCCGAUUUGACCCCUAGCCUGGGAACCUCCACAUGCCGCGGGAGUGGCCCUGGAAAAGGCAGAAAAAAAAGACAAAAAAAUAAAAAUAAAAAUAAAAUAAAAUACAGAUAUUCCCUAUUAACUUCUUCUACCAGGAAGAUCCCAGCUAGAUUCAUAGAAGUUACAGAUUCUGAAAGUGAAAAUUGCCAAGGAUGGCAUGAUGCUCUAAUUGCCUUCUAUAUACCCCAUUGGUGGGGAGGAUUCUUUUCCUACAGUUAUUGAGAUAUCUGGGCAGAUGAGAUUAUUAGCUUAUUAGUUGCCUAUCUUUACAGCCUUUGGGUGGGGGACAGCACAUGCCCUGCAGAGCCACAUGAGAGCUGCCCUUGGGGACAUAGUGAACAGCCGGGGAGUGUGUGAGCAGACUUAAUGGUAUCAAAAGGAUGGAGUGCCCUCUGAUUCCUGUUGGGGGGAUGUGAUAGGUUUGUUUGAAUAAUUCCAUGGGCUGGCAAGGGACUAAAGCGUAACACUCAGGGACUGCACUUGCAUCUUUGAUAAAGAAGAGUGUUUGGGUAGGAGGCCUUAUUUACUAACGUGGAGUGUGGAGGAAACUUGUGGUUAAGCCAUUUAAGAACUUCUUGGUUUCAUCAGAUGUCAUGAUAGCACAAAAUCCUGGACCAUAAUUUUAGGUCUUUCGCCACACGUGGUGAAAAAUGGGAUUGAGCACACAUAGGUCAGAUAUGGAGUGCUCAACUUGAGUCAUUUCUUAAAUACAGCAGCCUCCUUAUUUAGGACUUGUGUGGUAGUAUUUGCUUUUUUGUUGUUGUUGUGAUUGUUUUGUUUUAAAAUAAAUUUGUUGACUUCUUAAAACAAUAUCUCAUGUAUUUUAGGAAAGUAAUAAUGUUUUAUUUAUCUUUGUGAGAUUGCGUAAUUUGUCUCUAACUUCAAACCACAAAUUUAGUUUCUGUCCUUGAAUUAGAACUUGGGGGUUUAAAAUAAGGAGAUUUUUCCUAAAAGAGAAAAAGAACAACCAUUUUUAUGUCAUCUAGCAUUUUUUCAUAACUGACUUAAAAGUGGUUUAAAACAGCACCCAUAGGACACAAACAUGGGCAUUAUAAUUAAUCUACAGCUGGGCCAAGAAAUAAACAACUGUAUAGGGAACUGAUUGUGCAAAUAAGUACAUUCUAUUAAGAGGCCAGACUGAUAGUAACGUGGAUUUAACUACCAAGUCACUGUAGGAAAAGCAUAUUGUCAGUGAUAACCAGGGGGAAAAGUCAUAAAAGUUUGUAACUGCUGAAAACUCAGUGUGAUGAACAUAAAUUAAGUGAAGGGCCAAGUGUCUUACUUUUAAAGGACACCAUGUAAGGAUUUGUUAAGAGAAAUGGGACUUAGUCACUCAGGGGCCAAACUUGUCUCUGAGGCAACUAUGAGACUGACCUCUUGAUGGCUUAAUCUCUCUGUGGCUCUGUUGACUCAUGUGGAAAAUGGGAAAAGUAAUAAAGCUUUCCUCAGAACUUUUCUACAAUGCAAAAAUGAGCUUUUGCAUAGCAUAUGCCUUGCAGAAGACUGGGUAUACAGUAAGUGCUCCGUGAAUAUUAGUGUCCUUCUUUGUACUGCACUAGCAACGACUUAAGGCUCUUAGCACAGCAAUCCAGUUAUAUGUGAUCCAAAUUCUUGGGAAUUAUUCAGCUCAAUUACCCAUAUGUGGAACUCUAAAGUCUACAUUGGAGGCACCCAGAAAAUUAUUGGAAUGCAAUGUCUUUGACACCAGAUUCUUGGAUUCAAAUCUGCAUAUGGGUAACAGGUGCUUUAAUUCUUAGAUAGACUUUGAGACACAGUAUUGUUUUCCACCUAAAUAAGCUUAUGUUUCUCAAAUGUUGUCUUCACAUUCACUGUUACUUUAUUUUUUUUUUUUGUAUUGAUAAUUUUUAAUAAGCAUUUUUAUGUCAGGGUCUUUACAAUAGGUUGUUGCGACAGCACUGUUCUCUCCAGAUCUCCUUGUUCCCAAAAUUCACUGGCAAUCAGAAGUGCUCCCCGACUUUGUACCUCCCAGAGUUUGGUUAUAGCUGACAAGUCACAUGCAGUCAUCAUCAUUGCCACAACAAUCUCUUUUUUGGUUGGAUCAAUGGUUACGUAUUUGAUAGCCUCUUCUUCAGUUUCAUCUUUUCACAUGCAUCAGCAAUUUUCUUGAAACAUUGUUCUCUUCUUGAAAUACAAAGCCAGAUCAGUUGCUGUUACUGCAACCUCAAACAAGUGAAUUAAUGAGUGCCAGUUACUGAUCUAGU